rnacentral:rRNA from 1 species
GACGAACGCUGGCGGCGUGCUUAACACAUGCAAGUCGAACGGUGAAGCGCCUUCCUUUUUGGUGGGUGUGGAUGAGUGGCGAACGGGUGAGUAACACGUGAGUAACCCGCCCCCUUCUUCUGGAUAACCGCAUGAAAGUGUGGCUAAUACGGGAUAUUCUGGUUCUGUCGCAUGAUGGGUCUGGGAAAGAUAUUGUUUCGGUGGGGGAUGGUCUCGCGGCCUAUCAGCUUGUUGGUGGGGUGAUGGCCUACCAAGGCGGUGACGGGUAGCCGGCCUGAGAGGGUGGACGGUCACACUGGGACUGAGACACGGCCCAGACUCCUACGGGAGGCAGCAGUGGGGAAUAGUGCACAAUGGGCGCAAGCCUGAUGCAGCGACGCCGCGUGAGGGAUGGAGGCCUGCGGGUUGUGAACCUCUUUCGCCAGUGAAGCAGGACUGCCUCGUUUGUGGGUGGGUUGACGGUAGCUGGAGAAGAAGCGCCGGCUAACUACGUG